UGUGCCAAGCAGCCGCGGUAAUUCCAGCUCCAAUAGCGUAUAUUAAAGUUGUUGUGGUUAAAAAGCUCGUAGUUGGAUCUCAACAGCCUUGAAGCGGUUAACUUUGUAGUUUUACUGCUUUAUAGGCUGUGCUUUUGCUGGAGGUUUAGGGGUGCUCUUGAUCGAGUGUCUCUGGAUGCCAGCAGGUUUACUUUGAAAAAAUUAGAGUGCUCAAAGCAGGCUAAAAUGCCUGAAUAUUCGUGCAUGGAAUAAUAGAAUAGGAUGUCGAUCCUAUUUUGUUGGUUUUCGGGACUCGACAUAGUGAUAAAUAGGGACAGUCGGGGGCAUUUGUAUUCAAACGACAGAGGUGAAAUUCUUGGACCGUUUGAAGACAAACUACUGCGAAAGCAUUUGCCAAGAAUGUUUUCAUUAAUCAAGAACGAAAGUUAGAGGUUCGAAGGCGAUUAGAUACCGCCCUAGUUCUAACCAUAAACGAUGCCAGCUAGCGAUCUGCCUGCGUUUUUACUGUAGACUGGGCAGGAAGCUUCCGGGAAACCAAAGCAUUUGGGUUCCAGGGGAAGUAUGGUUGCAAAGCUGAAACUUAAAGGAAUUGACGGAAGGGCACCACCAGGAGUGGAGCCUGUGGCUUAAUUUGACUCAACACGGGAAAUCUCACCAGGCCCGGACACUGGAAGGAUUGACAGAUUGAUAGCUCUUUCUUGAUUCGGUGGGUGGUGGUGCAUGGCCGUUCUUAGUUGGUGGAGUGAUUUGUCUGGUUAAUUCCGAUAACGAACGAGACUCUGUCCUGCUAAAUAGUUUCUACUUCUCUUUUGAGUAGAAAUUUCUUCUUAGAGGGACUGGUGACUCUUAGUCACACGAGAUUGAGCAAUAACAGGUCUGUGAUGC
rnacentral:rRNA from 1 species